UACGUAGGUGGCAAGCGUUAUCCGGAAUUAUUGGGCGUAAAGAGCGCGCAGGUGGUUAAUUAAGUCUGAUGUGAAAGCCCACGGCUUAACCGUAGUAAGCCUUUGAAACUGGGAAACUUGAGUGCAGGAGAGGAGAGUGGAAUUCCUAGUGUAGCGGUGAAAUGCGUAGAUAUUAGGAGGAACACCAGUUGCGAAGGCGGCUCUCUGGACUGUAACUGACACUGAGGCACGAAAGCGUGGGGAGCAAACAGG
rnacentral:rRNA from 1 species